GUACAGAAAAUUAUAGGAAUGUCUGAAUGUCCAUUGCCUGCACCAGCAAGUAUUGAAUAUUUGAAUCAAAAUUAAGAAAUUAAACUCAUGGGAAAAAUGUAGAUCAAGUAGAGAGACUGAAGCGGGGAUCAUAAGGCGACGAACUGAAAAGAACAACAAGGUGCCGUGAUGCAGUUUCUGAGAAGAACACAAAUGACCAAAUUUCGACAAUACAUAAGUACCUGAAGUCAAAAGGAUAUAAUUUGUAUGAAGCUAAGUCUAAGAUGCAGCUAAAUUUGGUACAUGCUUAUAACUAUGAUGAUACACAGAAUCUCUGAUUUAUAAGGAUGUUAGCUAAUAAUAAGAAUAAGAGAAACAUUAUAAACUGAGUACACUGAAAAAUCUGUAACGUGAAGUGCCGGUCAUCGAUUUGCACCUCUGAUCACCGCCGUGUACUUAUUGCUUAACUUGUUGCUGACGUACCUGCACACGAACCACCCAAUCUAUAAACUUCAAGACUGAGAUAGCUAAUCUGAAAUUUAUACAAAUGGUACCUAUGAGCUUGCAUUGAUACGAUUGUGAAAAUUAUAUUGCAAGGCACCAAAAUGUUGUUGAAUCAACCAAGUAAUGACAACCUGAGUAAAAAAUGUGUGGUUUCGUGAUAUCUAGAAAUAUCCUCUUAUCCAGAUGUGACACAGUUGGCAGGAUUGUAAGAAUCAUCACAUAAUCAUGUAAGGUGCUUCAGCCAGAUCCAGUUAUGCAGAGGAACAUGGAGGAGCACUAAGAAAUAAGUAUGGUCAUUACAAAACUAAGCACAAGAAAAUCCAGUGUGAAAUUAAGCAGCCAAAGUUUGAAAGGCUAGCAAACUUCUUUGCCUAGAAUCAUCUAAAACAAGCCCAACCAAAUAGAAUCUCACACAAUUAGGCUACAGUCCAAGAGAAAGAGAUAACCUCUCCUUCUUCCUUGCGAAGUUUUCAGAUCCUCCAUGUCGAGUUCUUCAGCUGCGUGUUCCUCUCCUGCGGAAUCCGCAGUACAGGGGGAACCAAGGAGUUAAAAUUCUGAAGAUUAAAUGCCAAACCAUCAUCCAACACCUACAGGGGAGGGGAAGGGGGAGUGGAUGCGCACCUUGAAGAUAAGAAGCUCCUCCUAGGGCAGCUCCAUCGUGAAUCCAUGGAGAAAAAUGGAUCAUUGACGAGCUCCUCUCCCAGAGAAACGAUGAGGAUCUGCAACGGCGCCCCCUCCAAUCGCUGCUAGCCCGCAACAUGUGCCUCAUCAGAGGUGCUGCUUGCGCAGGUCCCGCCUGGCCAUGUCGCGCACCAUC
rnacentral:lncRNA from 1 species